AGUUUGAUGUUGCAUGGAAAACAACCCGAACCGUUCACAGCAUUGUAAAAAGAAAUGGAUUUUCCCGUAAAUAAAGGUAAACAGAAAGGGAAAAAGACAGUAAAUCAAGAAGAACUAUUGGAGGUUCCAGAUGGAUGGAAAGAGCCAGGAAUCGCUAAGGAACAGAAUCCACAUGGCGUAGUCAGUGAAAGUUCCUUUGCCACACUUUUCCCAAAGUAUCGAGAAAAUUAUAUAAAUGAGUGCUGGCCACUUGUGAAGAAAACACUAGGAGACCAUAAUAUCAAGGCAGAGUUGGAUUUGGUUGAAGGGAGUAUGACUGUAAGAACAACAAAGAAGACAUGGGACCCCUAUAUUAUAAUCAAAGCCAGAGACCUGCUGAAACUCUUGGCCAGAAGUGUACCAUAUGAACAGGCUGUUAGGGUGUUAGAGGACGAUACUGCGUGUGACAUCAUCAAGAUUGGUUCUCUGACAAGGAACAAGGAAAGAUUUGUGAAAAGACGACAGCGCCUGAUUGGACCAAAUGGAUCUACCCUGAAAGCCAUUGAAAUUCUGACAGACUGUUAUAUUCUUGUUCAAGGAAACACAGUGUCAGCUCUUGGACCGUAUAAAGGAUUAAGAGAGAGAGAGAGCAUUCUGUUGUUUUCAUUUUUGUUAUCUUUAAAUCACAUCAUUGUUUGUUUUAUUAUGUAAGAGUUAAUGGUAUUGAUGUCUUUCAGUUUCCUGUACACAUUUUUUUAGAUUGUAAACCAUUCCUUACUUUUAUAUUUAAUUUAGGUUAGAAAAAUUGUUGAAGAUACUAUGAAGAAUAUUCAUCCAAUCUACAAUAUCAAGACACUGAUGAUCAAAAAAGAAUUAGCAAAAGAUCCAGAGCUAAGAAAUGAGAACUGGGAAAGGUUUAUACCCAAGUUUAAGUCAAAGAAUAUCAGUAAGCGCAAACAACCAAAGAAGAAAAGGGUCAAAAAGCCAUAUACACCAUUCCCACCUCCUCAACCUGAGAGCAAGGUUGACAAAGAGUUGGCAUCAGGGGAAUACUUCCUUAAACCUCAUCAAAAGAAAGCCAAAAUACAGCAGGAGAAAAAGGAAAAACAGCUGAAGGCAGUCCAGAAGAGUCAGGAGAAGAGAGCUAAAGCUUUUGUUGCACCCAAGGAGGACGCAGCGCCUCCAAAGAAGAAGCAGAAAGUGUCAGAGGCUGUCAAUGUAGAGGAGUUGAAGAAAAAGAUAAAAAAGUCACAGAAGAAAAAAUUAGGAAAAUCUUGAAAUUCUUCAACCUACGUUGAAAUUCUCAAAGGGCUUUCAAGAAGAAUUGUGAGAAAUAAACAUUGACCACUGCCACUGAGGGAAAGACGAACUGUGAGGUGUAUAGGAAUGUGUUUUCUGUAAAUACUUACACAUAUAUGUAUUUUCAUUAUCAGUUUGAUUACAUGCUGGAGUGACAGAAAUACGUUUUUAACUGAAGAUCAUACUGAUUUGUUGUACAUUAUGUGAAUGCGCUUUGAAUGAGAUGAAUGUUUUCAAAUAUUAUCAGUUGGUUAUGUUGAUAAAGGUGAAAUUUU
rnacentral:misc_RNA from 1 species